rnacentral:misc_RNA from 1 species
AAAUAAUUUUAUUAAUAGAAAAAGGUAGAAGUAAAUUAUUUAUUCAAUUCAUUAAUUCUGUAUUAUUUUAUUUAUUUAUUUUAAAUUAAGAAGUAGGUUUUAUUUGUAAGUGUUCUAUGUUAUUAAUCAAGUUUAGUUCUGCAUGAUUCGAGGAUUUUUAGUGCGUUUCUGGUCUAUGUUUUUGAAUAUGAUUCCCACCUGAAGUUGUUCAUUUUUGUUUAUUCAUUUACCUACUGUAGUUUCUUGCUUUGGAAAUGCCAUAUGUUAGGGUUUUGCAUUGUGUUGAACAUGGCAAUGUUGAAUUUCA